UACGUAGGGGGCAAGCGUUAUCCGGAUUUACUGGGUGUAAAGGGAGCGCAGGCGGUGUGGCAAGUCUGAUGUGAAAGCCCGGGGCUCAACCCCGGGACUGCAUUGGAAACUGUCACACUAGAGUGCCGGAGAGGUAAGUGGAAUUCCUAGUGUAGCGGUGAAAUGCGUAGAUAUUAGGAGGAACACCAGUGGCGAAGGCGGCUUACUGGACGGUAACUGACGCUGAGGCUCGAAAGCGUGGGGAGCAAACAGG
rnacentral:rRNA from 1 species